UGUUUAAACUCUCGUUUGGAAAGACCGCACGUGACUCUUUUUUUUUGGAUAAGGCUUUGAAUCCUCGAAACGGAUGGGUGAGAUCCGGGCACGGGAACGAAAUGCUUAUUCCGCGAGCUUUAGAAAUAUUCAAGUAUGUUGGCACAACAUUUUCGAAAAUAUACCCUAGAUUAGACUAUGCGGGUUUGAAUUUAGAGCAAAUAGAAUCUCUAAUUGUAUGGUGGUGACUUUGCUUUAAAGAUUGAUUUAAAGGAACCUAAGGCCGGUUUGUCCAAGAAAUUAUCUUUGUUAAGCGUGAUGUAACCUUGUAUUUUGUUGUAUUUAGCAUAUGCGGUGAUGAAUGCAAUAAAGCAAAUAAAGCAACAUCACAAUACUAAAUAAAGUGCAGAAUUAGUAAAUACAAGACCCCCUAGAAAUGGACUAGGGAGUAGGUCCAAAUUGCCUAGAAAUGAACUAGGCAAGUAAAGAUGCGGAAUUGAAAGUGCGGAAUUGAAAUUGCGGAAUUGAAAGUGCGAUAUUGAAAGUGCGGUAUUGAAAUUGCGGUAUUGAAAUUGCGGAAUUGAAAGUGCGGAAUUGAAAGUGCGGUAUUGAAAUUGCGGAAUUGAAAGGUGAGAUAUUUGAAAUUGCAAUAUUGAAAGGUGCAUAAUUGAAACUUGUACAUGGGCACAUGAGAUUCGAACGCCAAGCGACUCCUUAAAAAUAAGUGCGCCCGACACGAAUUCAAAGCCAAAAAUCUCAACUUGGGAGAGGUUGCUCAACCCAAAUAUCCUAGACUUUGCAUAUUGAACUUGAAAUUGAAAGCUUGAAUAUUGAAGUAUUGAAUCUUGAAAUACUUGAAAUUCAGAGACUUGAAUCUCAAAGGUCGGGCCUUUUAAUGUUGAAAAGGUUAGACCUUUAAUAUGCUCUCGCUUGAAAGGAUCCUAGUUUACGGAAGUAGUCAUGAGCAACCCUAAACAUGGUGGGAUCUUGAAAUUUGAAAACUUGAACUUGUAUAUUGAAAAAUGGAGUUUUGAAUCUCAAAAGACUAAACCUUUAAGAGUGAGAAAGGUGUCAUCUUUGAUUACUCCAUACUUGAAGGUGAUUCUGGUUCAAAGAGGUGAUUGCAAACAACUUUGAACAUCCUUGAAUCUUAAAAGUUUGUAUUUUUGUAUUUUGAAAAGUUUUGAUUUUGAAAAAAAUGUAUGAUUGUUGCAAGUGACAUUUUUAAUAACAAAAAUGCCAACUUGCUAAUCAUUUGGAAAUCAAAACAACAUGAUUGAAUAUGGUGGGAUUCGGAAUUACCUAUUUAGGUUUAGGCAAGAAUUCCUUUUGGAGCUCCCAAUUGCUUAGAAUUAGAAAUUUUGUAUGUGUUUUGAAGGGUUUUUUAUUUGUAUUUUGAGGCGUAAUGUCAGUAUUACGACGUUGUAUUUCGUUGUUCCCCUUCUUUUGAUGCUAAAAUGAGGUGUAUUUAUAGGAGGAAUGGGUGCAAGACGCCAGCACACGCCAGCGCAGCACGCCGAGGCAACGCUGGGCGCUGGUGACGUGGCGUGAAUGCCGCCAAAGCAAGGACGCGGGCUCCGUCCUUGUUUCGUCUUGUAGUGUUGUACCUUUGUACGAAUAGUACUAGGCUUGGCGUUUUGUGUUUUCUUGGAGGUUAAGGCAUUAUUUUGCGUCUAAAAACAAGCCUUUCUCGGGUUUUGAAUUCCGGUUUUACGGGACGGGGCCCGACAUGCUCGGUUUUGUGGGUCGGCGCCCGAACUUGACUUGCCUUAUAUGAUUUUGAGUGGAAAAGGCCUAGUAAAACCAACGGGAUGGUGUACUAGAUGAGAUUGUACUUGGACUUUGAAAUUGGAUUUUGAGAAUUGUAUUUUGUACCGAGUUUCGGGAGGGGAACGGCCUCGGGGAUUGGAAUUUGGAUCUUGAAUUUUGGAAAUGUUCUUAGCAAUUGGGAUUUCCGCCUGGAGUUGUUCCAACCGCCUAGUAAGGAUAAUGGUAUCGUCAUCAUCCCAGAGGGGAGACACAAAUUAGGUGUCUACAAAAGCCCCCACUUUGACUGAGCGUUCGGUUAGGAAAGCGCAAGUCAAAGUAUUUCGAAAGGGACGGAGAAUGAUCAAGAUGUUCUGCAAUCGAGACCACUCUUUGUACGCCGGUACCUGCAUAAAACAGGCGUUAGAAAAAGGAUAGAGUCUACCUUGGUGCGGUUGUGACGACUACGAUUUGUACUUGUACUUUUCCGCCUUCGGUUCAGGACGGAGCUUGGCAUCGAAAAUUUUGAAUCUUGAACAUUUGAAUUUGAACACCUGGAGUUAAUCCGUUGGGGAUGUGCUUUGCUGGGGAUAAGAGCUUUUUACUGGCCCUUAGAAUUUUGAAAAUUCGACUGACUUUCCCGGAGCUUGGGUCCGUUGGGAGUUGAAUGCCUGAGUCGUUGUAUUUUUUGAACUUUGUAUUCUUGAAAUAUUCAUCUGUUUGUACUUGGAGAUACGGGUGUAUACCCGUAUUUUCGAUGGAUGGCCUGAUGCGAUGUUUGAUGCUUGGUGCGGAAGACCGUAGCAGCAAAGGACGGGCAAUCAGCACGGGAGACCGCGCGCGCUGAAGAUUCGCGCAUGCAGCGGACAACACUGGGCGCUGGGCCGGCGUACGGCGCGGGGCUGCGCUAUAUAAGCGCCCCUUGUCGUGCCAUUUUGAGGAGUAAUCUCUUGCUUUCUUGUUCUCUUUCUCUCUCAAAGGUCGAAUUGUCUUCCCUUGGUCUUGUUCUUGCCUUAUCCAUGUAAGUAUUUCAUGUUUUGCUUAUGAAAUAACUCUAGGGUUGCAUGUAGUUUUGAUUUCUCGUACUUUGAAAUGAUGCGUGUAUGCUUUAAGCUUCUUGAAUCUUGUAGAAGAUUGUUUGAUAACCACUUGAACUUGAACUGUUGGAACUUGUAGUUUUGAAUUUUUUUAAAGUUUUCUUGAAUGUCGUACCUGGUAGUUGUAGAUAGUAGUCUCACUGGUGACGUAGCGGGGUCUCAGGUAGAGAAAUAGGCUAGGAUGUCUUGAUGUUGUUUUGUAGAGUUUUGAAAUGCUGGCUUCGGCAUGGGUAGCCUAGGCGUUGAUGUUGAACUUGUAUACCUGCCUCGGCGUGGGUAGCCUAGGCGUUGGUGUUGAACUUGUAUACCUGCUUUGGCAUGGGUAGCCUAGGCGUUGGUGUUGAACUUGUAUACCUUCUUCGGCGUGGGUAGCCUAGGCGUUGGUGUUGAGCUUGUACUUUGAACUAGAGGUCCACUGGGGAUUUGUUUUGAAUUUUUUUUUGACUUUGUAUAGGCUAGUAUAGGAUAGCCCCCAGUUUAGAAUUUUGACACUUUGUACUCCACUUGAUUUAGUAUGCCUUGUCACACUCGGAGAAAGCUCGCCGAAUCAUCUGUGGUUCGAGCUGCUGAGGAGGAUGCUUCGGAUGAUGAAGCGGUUGCAAUAAACGCGCCAGGUGGGGGUAUGGUUCCCAGGGAGGCGCCCCCUUUCGCUGGCACUGGUUGGAGUCCUUCCGACCUAGUGUUUCGGCCGGAGUGGCACUUGUCUCAGCGGCCUCGCGCUGGCUCGGCUGAUGGAAAGCCGUUUCGUACUUUCUGGUCCUUGGUGGAGGUUCAGAAGGCCUUUAAAACUCUUCGUGCUGAUGAGGAGGCCAUGGAGAUUUGGUCACAGACGGGCCUGGCUGAUUUCUGGCGUGCCAUGGGAGGUACUUCGAGGAGAACGGGGAUCAAACCCCGGCUGUGGGCUUUUUUGGAGCGGUGGUGGGAUACUACCAACACUUUCCACAUGGCAUGGGGGAAAAUCACCAUUACCCCCUUUGAGUUUGCUAUGAUUACGGGUCUUCCUUUUUCUGAGAGGAAUGUGACCUUUGAUCCGGAGCUGACGUGGCGCUCUGCCGCUGCCAGGGACUUGCUUGGCCCUGUUGUUCAAUUAUCGGAGGACGACACCCAUGCUUCUGUGACGGUGAUCGUGGAUGCUAUCUGCGGUGUGGGUGUGUCUGCGGAGCAGAGAGUCAUGCUCUUCCUCCUAGUUUUGGUGAGCAGAGUGAUGGCCCCUGAGCAGGAACAGUCGGGUGCACAUCAGAUUCCUGUCCGUUCUGCGGGACUUGAGGGCUGUUUCGAGCUACAACUGGGGUGGUUUGGCGUAUAACCACCUCUUGUAUGAGAUGAAGCAGGCCUCCCGGACUGCGCCGGGAGCGACCCGAGCAUGGCUGCCUUGUGGAGUGUGCUGGAGAUUUGGAUAUAUGAGCAUUUUCCGACUUUGGCGCCGGAUCGUACUAGAGAUGCGGCUUACCCGUAUGCUGCCUCUUGGAUAGGAGCGGUGCGCGUUAGGGUGCCUCUGGCGGCCUCCCGCAGAGCUUGGAGAGUUCUACCUGCUACCGAGGUGGUAUGGCGUCCUUUUGCCAACGCGCCUGUACCUGCCUCGGCUGCUCGUGCCCAUUUCUUGCCUGGGCGGCGGGUUUUGCUUCCAGGGGUGUACCGCCAUACGUGGUACCUAGGGGAGCGAGUGUCCCUUCAGCACAAUUCGGGGGAUAGACUUAUCCCCAAGGACCCACCGGGGUCCAUGCUGGCGUUGGAUGAAGAGCUUGCCCGGCUCUAUGCGGAGGCUAGGGGCGAUGCUGUUUGCCGCUCUUGGAGGGAUUUUGUACACAGGAAGGGUAGCUAUGACGACUUCCUGAGGAGGCUGGCUCCACCAGUACGCUUCGUACUGCCGGAUCCUCCGCUAUGAGAACUCGGACGGGGAAGAAGUGGUGGAGACCAUCCCUGUGGCUUCUCCUCCGCACCGGAGAUCAUAUGAUGCUGUACCUGAGCAUUAUGCUGCUGCGCCUCGAGCGAGAGUGCGUCGCUUGAUGCUUUUGCUUGAUUCCUGGAAGAGGCAUUGUGCCAAGCUGACCCGAAAGCUUUCUGGCGGGGGCAGAGAGGAGCGCCGUCGAGAUCGUAGAGGAUCCGUUGAUAGAGAACCCCAGGUGGAGACGUCCUUAAGGCAGGAGGGACCGAGCUUGGAGCUGGGAUAGGGGUCUGGUGCUAGUCUCAUCAGAGGCAUUCUAAUGCUGAGCGGGGAGCUUCCCCUUUUGUACAUGUUGAUCCUACCAGGCAUUCGUUUGAAGGUGCAGGCAGUUCGCGGCCCUUUGUUUCUUCCCCUGGUUACUACUUUGGAGGGAGUGAUCCUCAGCCUUGGGGUGCAGAUUCCUGGGCUUACUAUGUAGAGAUGGAGAGGAUGCACCAGGCUCAGAUGUUUGCGCCGUACCAGUAUAUGGCGAUGCCGCCGCCUUAUCAAUAUUCCUCUCCUCAGCAGGGAGUUCAUCACUCUCCUGGCACACUUUGUAUCUCGGAGCAGGAUCCUAGUACCCCUGGGACGGAGCUUGUAAUACCCCGAAUUUUUAAAACUUGAUUAAUUAUGCUUAAUUAUUUUUAUUUAGCUUAAAUCGUUUUAAAUCCUAAUUUCAAACUUUAUUUUAAUUUAACGAAGCUUUAUUUCGUUUGGAAUUCUAAUAUUGUUACACGAUUUAUUUUUCAGAUUAUAUAAUUUAAUUUUAUAUUUACGAGCUUAACGGCAUUUUUAAAUCUUAAUUAUUUUCGGAUUCCUAAUAAUUUCGAAACGUUCUUAUUUUAUUCGAAAACUAAAUUUAUUUUUCGUUAACAAUAUUUUUAUAAAGAAUUAUUUGGAAACUUGAUUUUUAUUAAACAUUACUAUUCUAAUUAAUUUCCUAAAAUAACACCAAAUUUUCAGAAAUUUGCCUAACAAAUGAAAAUUACUAAAAUGCCCCUUAAAAGCACAAUCUCUUUUUGACUUCUUUUCCUUGCUCUUCACGUAUAAGAAUGAAGGAAUUCCUUCAUUCCUCCUCACCCUCAAUUCAGUCUACAUUCAACCCUUAAGCCCCAAGAAAUUUUCCUUCCCAUUCACUCUUCUUGACUCUACAAAUCAGCUAUAAUUUCAACUAAAUUCUAACCCAAAAACAAAAACAAAUUUCAAUUUUCAUUCCUCUUGUUCUCUGUGAAUUGAACCAUCCAUAAUUACCACCAAAAAACCACCAAAUCGUCUCAGUCAAACACCAGCCACCACCACUGCCUACAACCACCAGCACCGACGACCACCGCAAUCACCAUCGCACACCCACCGUAAUUCCCCCUGCUCUCCUUCUCCUUCGUCGCACCACGCCCCACCACCUCCCCUGUUUUCCCUUUCCUCGUUCCCCUUGUUGCGCCACCACAUCGCAACCACCACACCCCGUCACCCUCACCAAUUGGUGAACUGACCUCCGCCGCCCAUUUUCCCCGGCGAGCUGCUCUCCCCUCCGCCCAGAACCACCCACGACACCACCCCUAAACUCCCCUGCUUUGCUCGCCCAUCUCGUGCCCUUUCUCUGUCUCCCCCGUCGUCCCGCCGCCACCUAUUACCUAUCACCACCGCCGCCCUCCGUCGCGAGCAGCCGCGACGUUGAGCCGCCCAGCUCAGCCGCCCAGCUCAGUCGCCCUCCCUCCUCUCCUCUCCUCCUCCCCUUCGCGCUCCUCUACUUCCUUCCUCAAUUCGCGCCUCAUUCUCUCUUCUUUUGACCACCGUGCCGCCGCCCAGCCUCCACCCACCAUCACCUUCGCAUCAACCUGCGCCGCCCAGACCGCCGCCUCCCUUCCUCCUCUCCUUUCCCUUUCGUGCUCCCCUGUCUCGCCCCACCCUCUGCCUUGUUCCUUUCCUGAAACCAAAAUCAAUUUUUGGUUUUGGUUUAUUCUCCUUAAAACCCACAAUUAAAUGGGCCAUAUUGGUUUGGGCUUUGGGUAAGACAUAUGAAUUUUCAGAUUUUCAAUUAAUCAAUAUUUAUGAAUUUUGUUUUCGAUAUAAUUAUUCACUAAUAAAUCGUUAUUAUUUUUCAGGUUUAAUUAUUAAUUUUACUAAAUAAAUUAUUAGCUUGAAUUUACGGAACUUAAGUAAUAUUUUCAUAAAAAUCGAUUUAUGAAAUAUAUAAAUAUACUUCGAUUAAAAUUUCGUUUAAUAAUAAUAUUUUCAUUAAAUUUCGAAAUUAUACUUUUAUUAUAAAUUCAUUACUUCUAAAAUUUAUUUAUAAAAUACUUAUUUUAGAUUAUCGUUGUAGUACUAAUUCAAUAAAUUUAAUAUUCUGAAAGAAAUCGGACUUGGAGCUCAGGAAGAACGAUCCAUCAGAC